AGCAGGAUGGAGCAGUCUGGAAGCUCGCCGGGCCCAUAACCCGGAGGUCGAGGGUUCGAAUCCUUCUCCUGCAA
rnacentral:tRNA from 1 species